GAUUAGAAGCGUCAUUUGUCGGUGUUGAAGAGUUGCGAAACCACCUUGAUCGUAAGAUCUAAAAGCUCCAACUGGUUUCCAAUUGGUGUUUUGGCGAUGGCUUCUACGGAGGGUUUGGUUCCCAUAACUAGGGCUUAUUUGUCUUCUUAUUAUGAUAACUAUCCUUUCGAACCGCUCUCCGACGAUGUAGCUACCCUCACUACGGAUAUGCGCUCCUUCAUCACUGACUUGCAGACACAUACUCCGCUUACUCAAGGUGAGAGUCUUGUGGUGGAUGGAGUGGAUCAUCAACCACCUCAUAAAAUUGACGAGAAUAUGUGGAAGAACCGAGAACACAUAGAAGAGAUCAUCUUUAUGCUUCAACCACCACAAUGGCCAACUACGCUUCAUCAACAAUCCAGAUUGCCUCCCAUUUUUGAGCAUCUCAAACUUAAAUGUGAAAACGCAUUGAACACAUUGGAAUCCUUUCAAUCAAAAAACGCGGAUAAUGUAUUUAAUACAGUCAUGAGCUAUAUGCCUCAAGACUUCCGUGGUACCUUGAUUCGACAACAAAGGGAACGCUCAGAGAGGACUAAACAAGCUGAAAUCGAUGCUUUGGUCAAGUCUGGAGGCAGUAUACAUGAUCGAUAUGCGUUGCUGUGGAAGCAACAGAUGGAAAGGAGGCGACAGCUGGCACAGCUUGGAUCUGCAACAGGUGUAUAUAAAACACUUGUGAAGUACCUAGUAGGAGUACCACAGGUAUUGCUGGAUUUUAUUCGACAGAUAAAUGAUGACGAUGGGCCAAUGGAAGAGCAAAGGCAUCGGUAUGGACCACCAUUGUACAGCCUUACGAAGAUGGUGCUCACUAUACGGCUGUUUAUUUUUCUUAUGUGGACACGUUUUGAUGCCAGAAAAAUAACAGAAAAGGAAUUAGCUACUUUGGAACAAGCUGUUAACACUUAUACUACUGAAUUUGAGAGGUUUAUAAAGUUUAUGGGUGAGGUUUUUGCAAAUUCGCCCUUCUUUAUAUCAGCUGAUGAAGUAGGCUCCAUAGAUUCAAGCAGAAAUGAUGAUUACAAAGAAAUAAGCAUUCCUGCUGGGAAACUCCAUGAGGUGGUGUUGUCAGUGGAUUCGAUUAACUCAUAUAUUGCUUGGGACUUCUCGUUGGAACAAAGUAAAAUGAAAUUGGAUGUUGGAUUUAGUGUCGAAUAUACCAACUCUUCUGGUGCAAAAAGUCUUAUCUUGCCUUAUCGCCGUUGUGAAUCUGAUCAGGGAAAUUUUUGCACAUGUAUGGCUGGAACUUACAAACUAAUAUGGGACAAUUCAUAUUCAACCUUUUUCAAAAAGGAGAAGAUGUGGGUUCGUAGCCUUUGAGAUGAUGAUGGUUUUUAACACACUAAUAGGAGUAAUAUGUUUUGGACCCUUUCUCAUGCAAUUUAUUACUCUUGGCGGGGAUUGUGAUUUCCGUAAUGCCGUUCAAAGCUGUAGUUGGUUUAAAGAAGUGAAGGCUCUGUUUUACAAGGUAGAUUGUAUACCCCCUGUUGCAGAACCAGCUCAACUGUGAUUCAUAGAAUGGAUAGUAGCACUCUGGGCAUUUGAGAUGGUCGGAGGGCUUUCGGCCUGGAAUGUUCUUAGAAUUCCAUUCUAUUGUGUUCUCCAUGGACGAUUUGCAACAGCUAGUUAUGCCAUUUUGUAUAUUUGACAUCUUAUUUGCAUCCCAAUGGCUUGGCUGGUUGGAAAUACUAUUCUGAAAUGGGUGUUAACGAGCAGAGAACUGCGCUUCUAAUUUCUAUAGGGUAAAAUAUAAGGAACCUGUCGAUGAACCUUUUCAGUUUUCCAUCUUCAUGGAACAUAUAUUUUGGGACCAUUAUACAUUUAUAUUUAUUGGGCA